AUUGAACGCUGGCGGCAUGCCUUACACAUGCAAGUCGAACGGUAACGGGCCUUCGGGUGCCGACGAGUGGCGAACGGGUGAGUAAUACAUCGGAACGUGCCCGAUCGUGGGGGAUAACGAGGCGAAAGCUUUGCUAAUACCGCAUACGAUCUACGGAUGAAAGCAGGGGACCGCAAGGCCUUGCGCGGACGGAGCGGCCGAUGGCAGAUUAGGUAGUUGGUGGGAUAAAAGCUUACCAAGCCGACGAUCUGUAGCUGGUCUGAGAGGAUGAUCAGCCACACUGGGACUGAGACACGGCCCAGACUCCUACGAGAGGCAGCAGUGGGGAAUUUUGGGCAAUGGGCGCAAGCCUGAUCCAGCCAUGCCGCGUGCAGGAUGAAGGCCUUCGGGUUGUAAACUGCUUUUGUACGGAACGAAAAGCCUUCUUUUAAUACAGGAGGGUCAUGACGGUACCGUAAGAAUAAGCACCGGCUAACUACGUG
rnacentral:rRNA from 1 species